rnacentral:lncRNA from 1 species
GUCCUUUCUUUGAUCUAAAUUCCAUGGAAGAUUUUUCUAGCAUUGGUAUUUGGCUGAUAAAAUAUUUCAAAACAAAAAGAUAGUGAUAAUAAUAUAAUAACUGAUACAUGACAUUUACAAGGUGAUUUACACACAUGACCUUCUUUUAUCCUCCCAAUAGCCCUGUGAUGGUGGUGCCAUUGUUAUCCCCCAUUUGUGUAGUUGAGGAAAAGGAGACUCAAAGAAUCUGUGCCUUCCUCAGGGUCGGCUUGUUACAACAAUCUAAAGUGGGAUUUGAACCCAAGCCCAAUGUUUUCCAUCACCAAGUCAUACCUCUUUUGGUGAAGCUCUGGGCCUCUGCCUUCGGUGGGGAGAUGAAAUCCAUCGCAGCCAAGUAUUCAGGUUCCCAGCUUCUGCAGAAGAAAUGAAUAUCUAAUAAGGGAAAUGAGAAGAAAGCUGUUUGGAAGGAGGGGGCCUUUCCUGUUGCCCACGGCGACUCUACUUGGUAAGAGCUGGGUCAGAAGUUUGGUGCCCAUUUCUGGACAAUGGUCAGCUCAUGCCUCAUGCAGUCGAUGUGUGUGUUCCUGAGACUUGUGUGUAAAGAUCAUUUAAACACAAAUUGAUCUUUGGUAAACUGAACCAUAAUCUCCCACUGGUCUCCAUUAUCCUUUCAGCAAUGGCUCAUCUUCCUCUCUGAUUGAUUUUCCAUUGGCAGUGGCUCUCAAGGCUUUGGCUUGCAGCUUCUCUGUUUCCAGUCUCUCCCCAGUAGUUAAUGGUCUGUAAACUAACACUUAAAUGUGCUGCCGGAGAUGCCUACCCCCCAACCCCCAGUGCUAUUAUGAGUAAUGGCAAGAGUCCUUUUAGAAUAAUCAUGUAGUAAAUAUUCUGUUUUGUCCAUAUGGCUUUUCAGACAUUGACUGGCCUGGUGGGCUAUUUCUAUCAG